rnacentral:lncRNA from 1 species
GUGACUUAUUGAAAUAUUAACUUCAUGUUUAUUUUCUUACUACCUUCAAAUGUUUAUAUAAAAAGGGUUGUACUUGUGCUCUGUAUUUAUGGAUUAAUAUCACUUCACAUUGAGGGCAUGUGUCACUACUGGUGCUCCUAUCUAAAUUAUAUCUUGUGUCCUACCUAACCAUGUAUCACUACUGUUGCUCCUAUCUAAAUUAUAUCUUGUGUCCUACCUAACCAUGUAUCACUACUGUUGCUCCUAUCUAAAUGAUAUAUUGUGUCCUACCUAACCAGUGAACGUGUGGCUGUGACCGUCCUGUCAGUGCCUGUCAUCACUGUUUUAUUUUACUGCAGGUAUGCUUUUCUGUAUUUUGGGGUUAUUUUCUAAACACUUCGCAUGUAUAUUAUACAAUCACUUUGUCGAUUCAGUCUGAGAGCAGUGAACAUGUGGCUGUGACUGUCCUGUCAAUGCCUGUCAUCACUGUUUGGUAUCUUUUACUGCAGAUAAAAACAUGAAGUGUGGGUGUCCGUGUGCCUUUCUUCUGGGGGGCUAUGUGAAGUUGGUUACACCAGGUGAUUGUUUUUGGAAACACUGCUAAUUCAACCAGUAGUGCUAGGUGCCUGUACUACAUAAACACUGCUAAUCCAACAAUAGUGCUAGGUGCCUGUACUACAGAAACACUGCUAAUACAACAAUAGUGUUAGGUGCCUGUACUACAGAAACACUGCUAAUCCAACCGGUAGUGCUAGUUGCCUGUACUAUAGAAACACUGCUAAUCCAACAAUAGUGCUAGGUGCCUGUAUUAUAUAAACACUGCUAAUCCAACAAUAGUGCUAGGUGUCUGUACUACAGAAACACUGCUAAUCCAACAAUAGUGCUAGGUGCCUGUACUAUAUUAACUGCUAAUCCAACAAUAGUGCUAGGUGUCUAUACUAUAUAAACACUGCUAAUCCAACAGUAGUGCUAGGUGCCUGUACUACAGAAACACUGCUAAUCCAACAAUAGUGCUAGGUUCCUGCACACUUGAUUAAAG